GAAGAACCUUACCUGGUCUUGACAUAGUAAGAACUUUCCAGAGAUGGAUUGGUGCCUUCGGGAACUUACAUACAGGUGCUGCAUGGCUGUCGUCAGCUCGUGUCGUGAGAUGUUGGGUUAAGUCCCGCAACGAGCGCAACCCUUUUCCUUAUUUGCCAGCGGGUUAAGCCGGGAACUUUAAGGAUACUGCCAGUGACAAACUGGAGGAAGGCGGGGACGACGUCAAGUCAUCAUGGCCCUUACGACCAGGGCUACACACGUGCUACAAUGGUCGGUACAAAGGGUUGCUACCACGCGAGUGGAUGCUAAUCUCAAAAAGCCGAUCGUAGUCCGGAUUGGAGUCUGCAACUCGACUCCAUGAAGUCGGAAUCGCCAGUAAUCGCGGAUCAGAAUGCCGCGGUGAAUACGUUCCCGGGCCUUGUACACACCGCCCGUCACACCAUGGGAGUUUGUUGCACCAGAAGUAGGUAGUCUAACCUUAGGGGGGACGCUUACCACGGUGUGGCAGAUGACUGGGGUGAAGUCGUAACAAGGUAGGCGUAGAUGA
rnacentral:rRNA from 1 species